UGUAAGCCAAUUGACGAUACCACAGUCAACUGUGGUAAAAGGCAGUGAAGUUAUAUGUCGUUUUUUGGAUUUUCGUUGGUGUUUGGUGAAGGAUUGCAGUUAUAACAUCAGCUAACUAGUGAGUAGUAAGGUAGAAAUACCGUUAUUUGUGUGAAGUACCUUUCGGUAAGCGAGUGUCCGCAAAUGAUUGGCUAGUUCAUUCAUUUUGUUUUUCUCGUAUUUGGCUGUACGGUGCAAAAUAAAAAAUAAAAGAGGAAGUUAGCUGUUGUUGCCGAAGUGUUGCUGUGUUUUAUCAACCGGGAGAAGAAAGCGAGUUGGAUUGCUGUUGCUGUUGAAUUUGUGGCCAUCGUAGUAGCCGCCAGGUUCAGUGGACCAAGUGGACCAGACUGCAUGCUGUUGUUGUUGCUGGUUGCCAGAUUUUUGCGCUGUGUGGAUUUUUUGUUUGGACUACGGCUCAGAUAGAGCUUUUGUUUCGUCGCAGCGUUUAGCCAGAUCUCGCUGGGCGGACGAGUCCUUUCGGCGCACAGGCGCCAAAUCAAAGUUCCACCGGAUUCUCGUAGAAAUUUGCAUAACCGUUUGGUUUUUCACGAGAACAAGUCCGGUGAUUCAGCGCAAUUUUCGAAUAACGGCAACAGCAGUUUUAGUGGUCCAGUUUGUCGUGAUGAAGGAGUAAUGGCAGCAAAAUCGGAUUAUUUCGGCUAUGCAGCCGACUCGUUUUUGUUCGGGGAAAGUUCAGUUCCGCAAGGCAACAUUCGGAGAGACAAGCCACCCAGUAAGAGACGAAGAGAAGAAGAAGAAGAAGAGGGGGACGACUCCGACUCCGAUUUUUAUGGCUUUGCGGCUGAUUCCCUCAUUUUCGAACCGGUUCCUGCUUUCGAAGAAUCCUCUACAAAUGGAUUUUCAGAUGCAGAAGAACCUUUCAGAAGAAGUAAACGUAAACCUAAGAA